UUUGCAGAAUGUUGACAUUUAGGUCACAAAGAAGCUGUUCAGUGAAGCAGAAAUUCACAUUGGUUUGUUUAAAGGCAAACAUUUUGGCCCACUUUUAAAUAAAUCUUCAGAUGUUUCAUAUGGGCGUGUUCUACUUACUUCCUACUUUGAGGAACAGAGGAGAGGCGGGUUUAUCAACAAGCAAGCAUGGCUUGUGUUUUCAUCACUGAGAAUGGUCAAAGCAAAACGGAGGUGCUGAAUUGUGGAUAUUACAUCUUCUAUUCGAUUCUAUUCGAUUGCAAAUUAAUUGCUACGCGAGAAGGGAAGCGCCGUCUGUGCUUGGUAGUCGGGACACGGACGGUCAUCAUCCAGGCGGUCAUCCUGCCCUCAGAGCUUCUGUUUGUUUCAAUUAUCUGGCUACGAGGCUACGAGGCUAUGCAACGCACACAUCCCUCUUUAUGGCGUGGUGGGAAACUUCUCCCAAGAGUCAUUACACCACCCCAGCUUGUCGGAAAGACGCCUGGCACACUGUUAAUGAAGAAAGAAUGACAUCCCUACUUCCGGAGUUCAGGUUUAAUACCAGGGGGCGCUUGCAAGAAUCCAGUGUGAUGCUGAACCUGUCCAGUGCCAGCUACUGUACUUCACAAUCCAGCAGUUCUUCCACCAAUUGACAGUCUUCCUCUCCUAUCCCCAUCUGGACUGAACAUUGACAGGUCGAAAUAUCUAUAUGAAAUGAUAAGGUCUUUCUGUGCUGAUGACAUCACAAGACAAUGCUGAGGUUAUGCCACCAAAUGGCACUUAACCAUUUUGCGACUUAUUGUGCAGUAUGUAUGCCAAGGUUUAUGCACUUGAAUGCACUAAAUAGUAAUGCAGGGCCGGGGGCACACACACACACACACACACA